AUUGAACGCUGGCGGCAUGCCUUACACAUGCAAGUCGAACGGUAACAGGUCUUCGGAUGCCGACGAGUGGCGAACGGGUGAGUAAUACAUCGGAACGUGCCUAGUCGUGGGGGAUAACUACUCGAAAGAGUGGCUAAUACCGCAUGAGACCUACGGAGGAAAGCAGGGGAUCGCAAGACCGUUUGCUGCGAGAGCGGCCUAUGGCAGAUUAGGUAGUUGGUGGGAUAAAAGCUUACCAAGCCGACGAUCUGUAGCUGGUCUGAGAGGACGAUCAGCCACACUGGGACUGAGACACGGCCCAGACUCCUACGGGAGGCAGCAGUGGGGAAUUUUGGACAAUGGGCGCAAGCCUGAUCCAGCAACGCCGCGUGCAGGAUGAAGGCCUUCGGGUUGUAAACUGCUUAUGUACGGAACGAAAAGCUCUGGGUUAAUACCCUGGGGUCAUGACGGUACCGUAAGAAUAAGCACCGGCUAACUACGUGCCAGCAGCCGCGGUAACAC
rnacentral:rRNA from 1 species